rnacentral:rRNA from 1 species
AACGAACGCUGGCGGCAGGCUUAACACAUGCAAGUCGAACGCUCCGCAAGGGGAGUGGCAGACGGGUGAGUAACGCGUGGGAACGUGCCCUAAGGUAUGGAAUAACUUCGGGAAACUGAAGCUAACACCAUAUGUGACCGAGAGGUGAAAGUUUAUCGCCUUAGGAUCGGCCCGCGUCAGAUUAGCCAGUUGGUGGGGUAAUGGCCUACCAAGGCGACGAUCUGUAGCUGUUCUGGGAGGAAGAUCAGCCACACUGGGACUGAGACACGGCCCAGACUCCUACGGGAGGCAGCAGUGGGGAAUCUUGGACAAUGGGCGCAAGCCUGAUCCAGCCAUGCCGCGUGGAUGAUGAAGGCCCUAGGGUUGUAAAAUCCUUUCGUUGGGGACGAUAAUGACGGUACCCAAAGAAGAAGCUCCGGCUAACUUCGUGCCAGCAGCCGCAGUAA